rnacentral:rRNA from 1 species
AUUGAACGCUGGCGGCAGGCCUAAAACAUGCAAGUCGAGCGAGCGGCGGACGGGUGAGUAAUGUCUGGGAAAAUACCUGAUGGAGGGGGAUAACUACUGGAAACGGUAGCUAAUACUGCCUACCAUCAGAUGUUCCCAGAUGGGAUUAGCUAGUAGGUGGGGUAACGGCUCACCUAGGCGACGAACCCUAGCUGGUCUGAGAGGAUGACCAGCCACACUGUAACUGAGACACGGUCCAGACUCCUACGGGAGGCAGCAGUGGGGAAUAUUGCACAAUGGGCGCAAGCCUGAUGCAGCCAUGCCGCGUGUGUGAAGAAGGCCUUCGGGUUGUAAAGCACUUUCAGCGGGGAGGCGUUACCCGCAGAAGAAGCACCGGCUAACUCCGUGCCAGCAGCCGCGGUAAUUC